rnacentral:rRNA from 1 species
UAUACCCUACGGGGGGCAGCAGUGAGGAAUAUUGGUCAAUGGUCGGGAGACUGAACCAGCCAAGCCGCGUGAGGGAGGAAGGUACAGAGUAUCGUAAACCUCUUUUGUCAGGGAACAAAGACUGGGACGCGUCCCCGGAUGAGUGUACCUGAAGAAAAAGCAUCGGCUAACUCCGUGCCAGCAGCCGCGGUAAUACGGAGGAUGCGAGCGUUAUCCGGAUUUAUUGGGUUUAAAGGGUGCGCAGGCGGUCUGUUAAGUCAGCGGUCAAAGCCCGGGGCUCAACCCCGGCCCGCCGUUGACACUGG